CCCUCGGCCUUUAGGUGCGAUGGACCCUGAUGUCAGUUUAAUAUCUGAUACGUCCCCCAGCGUUGGACUACAUAAUAAGGGGAUUUUUAGAACAGGGAGUCGGCAAAGGGGCUUGCUACAUCCGCUCCACGCAUCGACCCAGUAUUGCAUUGCCUCUAGAAGGUGUGCACUUUAU
ensembl:snRNA U2 U2 spliceosomal RNA